rnacentral:tRNA from 1 species
UUCCGGCAUAGCUCAGUUGGUAGUAGCGCAUGACUGUUAAUCAUGAUGUCGUAGGUUCGAGUCCUAUUGCCGGAGU